rnacentral:lncRNA from 1 species
CUAUUGCACUGAUAUAGAUGAUUUUUCAUAUAAUUUUAAAAUUGUAAUAGAAAAAAUACUUUGAUGAGCAUUAAAGAUACAUACCAAGGAGGCAUUAUGAUAAAUUUAUGAUUGACCUAACCUCUACAAUAUCUUUAAACAUUAAAAUACAGAUGAACAUUUGUAAAAAGGAGGCUUUCCUCAUUAUCACCCAGGGACAAAAAGGCCCAGCAUGCCUAAUUAAUUGUUUCUUUAGUAUAUUCAGUCGAUCCACUUGUUUCUUAGUACACUGAAUCGGUAGUUUGCAAUGUAUUAAAUUGUAUCAAAUUCAAACAAUUUCCAUGAAAAAAUAUGAUCACCAGUAAAAACAAACCUGAAUAAUUUAUUUUUAUUCCGUUUUAAUGAUUAGCAGGUUGUUCUCUUGAUGACGACAGGUACCACAUCACCAAUGUUGUAUUAUAUGUGAAUACUGGGCUUUUGUGCUAUUGACACAUUUUACUACUUUUAGGCUUAUAGUUUAUAUAUGGAUGACGCAAGACCAUAUAAUGGUUUUUGGUAGCAUUUAAAACAAGAACAUAACUUUCCUAACUCGGAGGAGACAAAGUUAGCCCUGAAAAAAGAUGCUGAAACAAGGUUGUCAUCUGAUUGUGUGGAGGGGACAGAGAGAAGUUCUCUUCUUCCUAGCCCUAUUUCUUUCAGUAUUCCUGACAGUUCUGCUUCUACUUCUGUUUUUGACUCAGUACCAAGAUAUUCUUGUGACUAAGGGCACAUUUAUUGAGCUCAAAUUAGGUGCCAAAGCAAGAUCAGGGAUGGAUGAGAGUCCUUGCACCCAAUGACAAAAUGUCCAAUUCACUUAUCUUUGUACCUAGGGUGAGAAAAUAAUUCAACAUAUCUCUCUUCAUUGUGAAGUCAUUUAUAAGUCUGGUGAAAAAGUCAGAACCUGUAACAGUAAAAGUAGAACCACUUCUAGAAAUCAAGAGAGAAUCAGCAAAUGCUUUAAAAAUACAGAACCUAUUUUUAAAAUCUCAAAACCUUGAUUUUUUCCUUCUUUUAAAUGUCUUAUAUUUUGCCAUGGCUUCCAAAAUACUAGUUUAACUAAAAUUAAGAUAUAAAUAUAAAAUAUUUGUAUUAAGACCACCUCCUGUUACUGGAACCCAAGUAUUUUCAGUAGUUUUCCCUCAUUUACAGUAUAACUUUCUGGCUAUUUAGCUAUUGUUGCUUGGCAUUCUAAGGCUUAUUUUCCUUCCCCCACAGAAUUCUGGUAAAAUGAUUUAUCUUAAAAUGUCUUUUUUUUUUUGUUAUUGUUCUGUGGUAAUUAACUUUAUAACAAAAACAAGUCUGUCAAUAUGUAAACUAUUAACCAUAUACUGUAACUGGAAAAAAAAAAAGAAACCCUUAAAAUCUAUCUAAAUUUGACAUUUUAUAUGUAAUUAAAUUGAAUUGGGAUUUUUUUUUCCC